UACAGAGGUCUCAAGCGUUGUUCGGAUUCAUUGGGCGUAAAGCGCGCGCAGGCGGUCUGCCAAGUUCGGAGUGACAGUUUCCGGCUUAACCGGAAAAGGUUUUCGAAAACUGGUGGACUUGAGGACUUGAGGGGGAGACGGAAUUCCGGGUGGAGCGGUGAAAUGCGUAGAGAUCCGGAGGAACACCGAAAGCGAAGGCAGUCUCCUGGCAAGUUUCUGACGCUCAGGUGCGAAAGCUAGGGGAGCGAACAGG
rnacentral:rRNA from 1 species